AAGACAGCUGUGUCCUACCUGUAGAUCUUUCUUUUCAGAAGUACGUGUGUUUAUGGGCAGAGGAUGCUGUCAGGCAGGUCUGGAGCUGAGGAUCGCUGCGUGAAGCACAGCGUCAUCGAGAAUGCAAGACAGUCAUCAUCUGGAUGAAGGCUUCUGUUUCUGUGCCCAACCCCUGCCCUCCUGGAAAUGAAAUGCUUGGCACUCUUCCAUCCAUGCUGAAGAUCUCUGGUGGUGUCCACCAGCCUAGGUAACUUAUAACUCUGUAUAUCUUCACAAUGCUAGGUCCAUUCUGGGUAUCUUCACUUGGAUGUCCUAUGGGUCCUGCAAAUAUGUUUAAAAUUGACCUCCCUCUGCACCUCCCCAAACUCCUUCUUUAUAUGCGUUUCCCGGUUCAGUGAUUUCAUCAUCUUCCCAGCCUCCCAAGCUAGACACUGCAGGAUGACCACUGAUGUGUUCCUGUCCUUUUCAGUCUGUCACUAAGCCCCGCAGAUCCUCCCUCAGAAACAUCUCUCAGCCCCAGCCUCUCCUCUUUCUCCCUGCUACCUUAGCGCCUGCCCUGAUCAGCUCACCCUGGGUAAGUGGUCAAUGGCUCAUUUGUCACCUUGUCUCCCUCCUCUUCUUCCUCCCUUCUCUGCUGCUACAAUAAUAUUUAGAAAAAGCAAGUCUUAUCAUGUCUCUUCCCUACUGGAAACAUAUUCAGCACUUUACUAUUACUCACACAAUUGAUUUUGGUGCUAUGCUUGCCCUUCCCAGACUGUUUCCGUCCUACUGCUAACACCCUCUGCUGCAGCCACUCCAGUCUCCUCUUUCCAGGUGCUCCCAUGUCUUUGUUCCCUGUGCUACGCCUGCUCCUUGGAAUACCCGCUCACCUCUUCUUGACUUUAUGAAGUGCUACUGAGCCUUCAAGACUUACGGACAAUGUCUCCUUUUUGAUAAAGUCCCUAAUCAACUGACUUUAAAGAGGAGAGACAAUCCAGUGGACCUCACUUAAUCAGAAGGCCUUAAAAGCAAGACUGAGGCCUCACCAGGAGAGAAGAAAUUCCUCCUGUGUACAACAGCUUGAGCCCAUGCCCAGAGUCCGUCCUGCUUGUGCCUGUCCCUUCCUGACUGCUGCUCUAUGGAUUUUGGACUUGCUUAGCCAGCCCUCAU
rnacentral:lncRNA from 10 species